rnacentral:rRNA from 1 species
AUGUGGGGGCGCGUCAGCGCACCCACUGGGUGUAGUCCCCGAGAUUCGGGCCGACUGCUGAGCAGUCGGGUCGGAUCUUCCUUAACGACUUCCUCUUACUGUUCUUUCUUUUUCUGCCGUCUCUGCAGCGGCCAACGCCAGUCUGAGGGCACAGCUGGGGGAGUCUCAGACUGCCCUUCGUGCCAAGGAUGCCGAGCUCGCCGCCUUGGUGCAGGAACGCGACCGCCUGGCCAAGAAGUUGGCCGACCAGGAGGAAGGCCACAAGGCGGCUCUGAAGGCGGUGCAGGACCGCGAAGCCGCCCUCCAGGCCGAGUACAAGACGGAGGCGGCUGGCUGGGCUGA